AUUUUCUUAGAGAACCACAAAUUAGGGAGACAAGGGAGUUAAGAGAAAUGCAAGUUGGGUGCUUUUGUAGCUGUGUCCUUGACUAGAGUUCAAAACCCAUGAUCGACCAUGACAGUGCUUUCAGGGUGGUCUACUUUGUUAGGCAUGUCGGUCCAAAACGUGUGGGUAUGGAACCAAUAUAAUUUUAUAUAUAUUACAAAAUUUUCAUUACAUUUAUAAAACUCUCUUCUUAUUUCUAUAAAGAAAAGGUAAGAUCCAACUAAAAGUAACCAAUAAUCGGCUGAGGAGUAGUGUUUGUCAAACAAAGCUGAGUGAGUUUCUUAAUAAAGAAACCAAAACUAGCUUCUCGAGAUCCUCACACCCAAUGCAUCCCCAGCAUGUUGCUGCAGCUCUUGUUGCCGGAUUGCCAACAUAUACAGUAGAUUAAUCAUUCUUCAUUGAAAUUCAAUUGAGUGGAAUAAAAGAAGAUACCCUUUGAUCUCCAUCAUUUUCAGC